rnacentral:rRNA from 1 species
AGAAUCAACGCUGGCGGCGUGCCUAACACAUGCAAGUCGCACGAGAAAGGGACUUCGGUCCUGAGUACAGUGGCGCACGGGUGAGUAACACGUGAAUAAUCUACCUCCGAGUGGGGAAUAACUGAGAGAAAUCUUAGCUAAUACCGCAUAACACUUACGAGUCAAAGCAGCAAUGCGCUUGGAGAGGAGUUCGCGGCAGAUUAGUUAGUUGGCGGGGUAAUGGCCCACCAAGACGAUGAUCUGUAUCCGGCCUGAGAGGGCGCACGGACACACUGGAACUGAAACACGGUCCAGACUCCUACGGGAGGCAGCAGUGGGGAAUUUUGCGCAAUGGGGGAAACCCUGACGCAGCAACGCCGCGUGGAGGAUGAAUCCCUUGGGAUGUAAACUCCUUUCGAUCGGGAAGAUAAUGACGGUACGAGAGAAGAGCCCGGCUAACUUCGCGCCAGCAGCCGC